rnacentral:rRNA from 1 species
UACCAGACUCCUACGGGAGGCAGCAGUGGGGAAUAUUGCACAAUGGGGGAAACCCUGAUGCAGCAACGCCGCGUGAGUGAAGAAGUCAUUCGUGAUGUAAAGCUCUAUCAGCAGGGAAGAAAAUGACGGUACCUGAGUAAGAAGCCCCGGCUAACUACGUGCCAGCAGCCGCGGUAAUACGUAGGGGGCAAGCGUUAUCCGGAUUUACUGGGUGUAAAGGGAGCGUAGACGGCGAUGCAAGUCAGAAGUGAAAGCCCGGGGCUCAACUCCGGGACUGCUUUUGAAACUGUGUGACUGGAGUGCAGGAGAGGUAAGCGGAAUUCCUGGUGUAGCGGUGAAAUCCGUAGAUAUCUGGAGGAACAUCAGUGGCGAAGGCGACUAUCUGGCACAUAACUGACGCUGAGGAGCGAAAGCGUGGGUAGCAAACAGGAUUAGAUACCCGCGUA